rnacentral:rRNA from 1 species
UUUGAUCCUGGCUCAAAUUGAACGCUGGCGGCAUGCCUUACACAUGCAAGUCAAACGGCACCACGGGUACUUGUACCUGGUGGCGAGUGGCGAACGGGUGAUUAAUAUAUCGAAACGUACCUUAUCGGGGGGAAUAACGCACCAAAAGCUGUGCUAAUACCGCAUAACCCCUAAGGGGAAAAGCAGGGGAUCGCAAAACCUUGCGCGAUUAAAGCGGCCAAUACCUGAUUACCUAGUUGGUGAGGUAAAGGCUCACCAAGGCAACGAUCAUUACCUGGUCUGAAAGGACAAUCACCCACACUGGGACUGAAACACGGCCCAAACUCCUACGGGAGGCAGCAGUGGGAAAUUUUGGACAAUGGGGGCAACCCUGAUCCACCAAUGCCGCGUGAGUGAAAAAGGCCUUCGGGUUGUAAAGCUCUUUUGUCAGGAAAAAAACACCACCUCUAAUACAUUUUGCGAAUGACGGUACCUGAAAAAUAAGCACCG